rnacentral:rRNA from 1 species
ACAUCCAGCGAAUUCGGUAGAGAUACCUUAGUGCCUUCGGGAACGCUGAGACAGGUGCUGCAUGGCUGUCGUCAGCUCGUGUUGUGAAAUGUUGGGUUAAGUCCCGCAACGAGCGCAACCCUUAUCCUUUGUUGCUAGCGGUCCGGCCGGGAACUCAAAGGAGACUGCCAGUGAUAAACUGGAGGAAGGUGGGGAUGACGUCAAGUCAUCAUGGCCCUUACGAGUAGGGCUACACACGUGCUACAAUGGCGCAUACAAAGAGAAGCGACCUCGCGAGAGCAAGCGGACCUCAUAAAGUGCGUCGUAGUCCGGAUUGGAGUCUGCAACUCGACUCCAUGAAGUCGGAAUCGCUAGUAAUCGUAGAUCAGAAUGCUACGGUGAAUACGUUCCCGGGCCUUGUACACACCGCCCGUCACACCAUGGGAGUGGGUUGCAAAAGAAGUAGGUAGCUUAACCUUCGGGAGGGCGCUUACCACUUUGUGAUUCAUGACUGGGGUGAAGUCGUAACAAGGUAAGCGUAGCGAG